rnacentral:rRNA from 1 species
GUCCUACGGGGCGCAACAGUAGGGAAUCUUCCACAAUGGGCGAAAGCCUGAUGGAGCAACGCCGCGUGGGUGAAGAAGGUCUUCGGAUCGUAAAACCCUGUUGUUAGAGAAGAAAGUGCAUGAGAGUAACUGUUCACGUUUCGACGGUAUCUAACCAGAAAGCCACGGCUAACUACGUGCCAGCAGCCGCGGUAAUACGUAGGUGGCAAGCGUUAUCCGGAUUUAUUGGGCGUAAAGGGGACGCAGGCGGUCUUUUAAGCCUGAUGUGAAAGCCUUCGGCUUAACCGGAGUAGUGCAUUGGAAAA